UCUCUUUUCCCCUGUUAUACAGUACUUGUUUGUGUUUCUCUUCUCUCUUUGCCUUAUGUACUUGUGUUUCUCUUCUAACUUUGCACAUUGCAUCUCACAGUUCAUAUCCAUGUUGUCGCACCUGAGGCCACAUCAUAUCCCCUGUGACCUUGCAGCAUAGCUCCACCGUCUUCAUUACGGCUCGCAGCAUAAGUGACUGCAAUACCUAUGAUUUGGAUGGCAAUUCCUAUGCCAACCCUCUGAAGCAAUUUGACUCCUCUGUGAUUUCCAGUAUGUCGGCGCAUGAAUGGUAUGAAGAAGUUGUCAUAGAUGGGCAGAGAAAUGACCAUGGUGAACACUGCAAAGCUCCAGAGUGAGGCUGCUGGGAAAUGGAAGUGGGGGCCCAGGCUCCUAUCCAUUGUUGUGCCUUGCUUGACAAAUAUGGUUACUUCUACUGCCCAGAAGUUGCUAGGAAUCAGCAUUAGUAACCAUAUAUGAAACAUUCCUAUAACAACCUUGGCUUUCUCUACUUGAGUCACUGUGCAUGGGGGAUUCGAGUUAUCUGUAUUGCUUUCUGUAAUUGCAGCCUUGUCUAAGAACCUUAAAGAAGAGGAUUUGAACAUACAAGUAAUGUAAAUAAUGGAGGAGUAAAUGAUAAUAGCAUGUUUAGAUUAAA